UACGUAGGGUGCAAGCGUUAAUCGGAAUUACUGGGCGUAAAGCGUGCGCAGGCGGUUCGCUAAGACCGGUGUGAAAUCCCCGGGCUUAACCUGGGAACUGCAUUGGUGACUGGCGGGCUAGAGUAUGGCAGAGGGGGGUAGAAUUCCACGUGUAGCAGUGAAAUGCGUAGAGAUGUGGAGGAAUACCGAUGGCGAAGGCAGCCCCCUGGGCCAAUACUGACGCUCAUGCACGAAAGCGUGGGGAGCAAACAGG
rnacentral:rRNA from 1 species